GAUGAAGCGAGGAGGUGAAUAUGAUGAGGUCUACCGCAAAAUCGUUCUACCAACGCUACUUUUCUGCGACGCAGGAAGCGUCCUGGCUGGCCCGCCUGAUGGCAGGACGACAGCAGGAAAUUCUGGGGGAACUGAUGCAGUGGGGAGUGACGUCAACGACCUCUGAUCAUUGACUUGCAGACAUCAUGUGUGACUGAGUAUUGGUGUUAUACUCGUCGUUUUUUCAAACUGCAGGUGCGCUGUCGAUGCUUCCUGGGCCGUAUGUUCGGGCUGCGUGAUUCGCCUCUACGGGACUCACCUUUUCAGGGCCAGCGCGAGCGCGGCGCAAAAUGGUUAACCGUUUUGUCCUGCAGCAUGAAAUCCAUAGAGUAUAGAAUCACCCGCCAGCAGAAAGCCUCUGCUGGCUUUUUUC
rfam:Klebsiella pneumoniae IS39, WGS project CBWT01000000 data, contig: c5